UCGUUCAGACCCUGACAGGUUGUGAGGACCAAGCACGCCUCUUCAAGGAUGAGGACCAGCCAAGUCCCGAACCUGAGCCUCAGGUCUCCAAAAGGCAGAGCAGGCCCUGGAUCUCAUCUCAGCCUUGAUUCUCCUGCCAAGGCAGGGGGCAAUGGUGUCUCCAAGGAAACAGAGGUCUCCUGUCCCAUCUUAAGCUCUGCCGGAUCCCGUGUGACAUCAGCCAGCCCCCUCGCUGCAGCCACCACCGCUGGGAGUUGUGAGCUCUGUGCUGGGCCGGGCCGGCACCAGGCACUGACACUUCAGCUCUUGUUGGGAGAACAGAGAGAGGCUCUUGUCUGCUGCCUGUCCUUGGCUCCGCUGCUGCGUUCCCCGCGGGCUUUUCCUCAGGCCGCACAGGGCCCACCUGAUUGUGACUACAGAAUGGCCUCCAGCCCAGGUGGGAUUCCUAGCCCACAGCCUUCCAGGGCCAAUGGGAACAUCAACCUGGGUCCUUCAGCCAACCCAAAUGCCUGUCCCACAGACUUCGACUUCCUCAAAGUCAUUGGUAAAGGGAACUAUGGGAAGGUCCUGCUGGCCAAGCGCAAGUCUGACGGGACCUUCUAUGCCGUGAAGGUGCUGCAGAAAAAGUCCAUUUUAAAGAACAAAGAGCAGAGCCACAUCAUGGCAGAGCGCAAUGUGCUGCUGAAGAACGUGCAGCAUCCGUUCCUCGUGGGCCUGCGCUACUCCUUCCAGACCCCUGAGAAGCUCUACUUUGUGCUCGACUAUGUCAAUGGAGGGGAGCUUUUCUUCCACCUGCAGCGGGAGCACAGGUUCCUGGAGCCCCGGGCCCGGUUCUAUGCCGCUGAGGUGGCCAGUGCCAUUGGCUACCUGCACUCCCUCAACAUCAUUUACAGGGACCUGAAGCCAGAGAACAUUCUCUUGGACUGCCAGGGACACGUGGUGCUGACAGAUUUUGGCCUUUGCAAGGAAGGUGUAGAGCCUGAGGAGACCACAUCCACAUUCUGCGGCACCCCUGAGUAUUUGGCUCCUGAAGUGCUUCGUAAAGAGCCUUAUGACCGAGCAGUGGACUGGUGGUGUUUAGGAGCAGUUGUCUACGAGAUGCUGCAUGGCUUGCCACCCUUCUACAGCCGAGACGUUGCCCAGAUGUACGAGAACAUUCUGCACCAGCCGCUACAGAUCCCCGGGGGCCGGACAGUGGCUGCCUGUGACCUCCUAAAAGGCCUUCUCCACAAGGACCAGAGACAGCGACUGGGCUCCAAGGCAGACUUUCUCGAGAUAAAGAACCAUAUCUUCUUCAGUCCCAUAAACUGGGAUGACUUAUACCACAAGAGGCUGACUCCACCCUUCAAUCCAAAUGUGGCAGGACCUGCUGACCUGAAACACUUUGACCCAGAGUUCACCCAGGAAGCUGUGUCCAGGUCCAUCGGCUGUACCCCUGAUACUGUGGCCAGCAGCUCUGGUGCUUCAAGUGCAUUCCUGGGAUUUUCCUAUGCACAGGAGGACAAUGACAUCUUGGACUGUUAGGACAGAAGCAUCUGUGAAGCCACAGAGGCCAGCUGGUAAUAAGAGUCAAAGUCCCUCAGCGAGAGAAGCGCUCGGGACAGGUGCUCCUUUGGUCUUCUAGCAAACACUGACUGAACAACAAGCAGAAGCAGCUGGAGCCCUGUCCCACCUCUACACCAUUUCCGUGUUUAUUCCCGACUGCAGGGCACUGUCACCCAACUUUGCACAAAAAUGCAGCAUCCUCACAAGAGAACUUUUCUGAGCUCAGGAUGCCUUGGGUUUGAGCCUGCGUACUGGGGAGAAAUUCUUUUCAGUCAUCCUCUUUUUCCAUUUGCCGCGACAGUGGUUGUGAAAAGACAAGUUGUGCGUUUAAUAUCCUCAACGACUACUCUGUACAAGUUGAAGACAAACCUAAAAGUAAAUCAAAACUGUUAA